GGGAGGAUGAAACGGGUGUUUCAACCGGUCUGCAAAACCGGUAGCAGGCGGAUAAAACCGUCUGUGGCAGGUUCGAUUCCUGCCCUCUCAGCCA
rnacentral:tRNA from 1 species